rnacentral:siRNA from 1 species
CUGCAAACUUGUUAAAUCGGA